rnacentral:lncRNA from 1 species
UUUUUAGGUUUAUGAAUAUUGGCGUUGUGUCUCCAAAACAUUCAGAAUUAUACAGAACUAUUAUUUGGUUGACUCUAUAAAAGAUUUUUGGGAGAAGAAGAGAGCUGCCAUCAUUGACUGCCUGCAUGUAAAGGAAAGUGUUGUUGCACUUGCUGAUGGAAGGAUGGACUCUCCAGGCCACACUGCCCAGUUCUGCACUUAUACGACCAUGGAGAAUGACUCCAAGGACAUAAUAAGUGUUGUCACUGUUGACAAACGACAAACCAAUCGCAAGUGUCACAGAUGCGCACAUGCAGAUUUCUGCACUGUUGGAUCCAAGAAAAGGAAGAUACAAAGAGAAAGCUAUAAUACAUUCCUUGGAUGUCUGGCAUGCAGCCAAAAAUCUGACCAAGAAACUUCAU